UCUUUAAUCCACCUAGGGGAACCUGUCCUUUAAUUCGAUAGUCCACGAAAUUCUUACCUUUCUUUAAAUUAUUCCAUCAGCUUGUAUACCGUCGUUUCCAACUAACCUUUAAAAGAUUAAUAGUUAGUAAUAAAGACCAUUUUAUCUAAUAAUACCUCUUCUAAAACAGAUCAAGGUGCAGCCAACAGAAAGGGGGGAGAUGGGUUACAGUUUUUAAUUUAUAAUAGAGCUCUUAGCUAAAUCUAAGAUCAAAAUAGGACUUAGAAGUAAUUCUUAUAAAAAAUAAUUAUGAAUUAACGGAAAUAAAGUAUGC
rnacentral:rRNA from 1 species